rnacentral:rRNA from 1 species
GACGAACGCUGGCGGCGUGCCUAAUACAUGCAAGUAGAACGCUGAAGAGAGGAGCUUGCUCUUCUUGGAUGAGUUGCGAACGGGUGAGUAACGCGUAGGUAACCUGCCUGGUAGCGGGGGAUAACUAUUGGAAACGAUAGCUAAUACCGCAUAAAAUUGAUUAUUGCAUGAUAAUUAAUUGAAAGAUGCAAUUGCAUCACUACCAGAUGGACCUGCGUUGUAUUAGCUAGUUGGUGAGGUAACGGCUCACCAAGGCGACGAUACAUAGCCGACCUGAGAGGGUGAUCGGCCACACUGGGACUGAGACACGGCCCAGACUCCUACGGGAGGCAGCAGUAGGGAAUCUUCGGCAAUGGGGGGAACCCUGACCGAGCAACGCCGCGUGAGUGAAGAAGGUUUUCGGAUCGUAAAGCUCUGUUGUAAGAGAAGAACGGGUGUGAGAGUGGAAAGUUCACACUGUGACGUAUCUACCAGAA